rnacentral:misc_RNA from 1 species
GAUGAAGAACGCAGCGAACUGCGAUAAGUAAUGUGAAUUGCAGAAUUCAGUGAAUCAUCGAGUCUUUGAACGCACAUUGCGCCCCCUGGCAUUCCGGGGGGCAUGCCUGUCCGAGCGUCAUUUCUGCCCUCAAGCACGGCUUGUGUGUUGGGUGUGGUCCCCCCGGGGACCUGCCCGAAAGGCAGCGGCGACGUCCGUCUGGUCCUCGAGCGUAUGGGGCUCUGUCACUCGCUCGGGAAGGACCUGCGGGGGUUGGUCACCACUAUAUUUUACCACGGUUGACCUCGGAUCAGGUAGGAGUUACCCGCUGAACUUAAGCAUAUCAAUAAGCGGAGGA